AGAUUGAACGCUGGCGGCAGGCCUAACACAUGCAAGUCGAGCGGUAGAGAGGUGCUUGCACCUCUUGAGAGCGGCGGACGGGUGAGUAAAGCCUAGGAAUCUGCCUGGUAGUGGGGGAUAACGCUCGGAAACGGACGCUAAUACCGCAUACGUCCUACGGGAGAAAGCAGGGGACCUUCGGGCCUUGCGCUAUCAGAUGGGCCUAGGUCGGAUUAGCUAGUUGGUGAGGUAAUGGCUCACCAAGGCGACGAUCCGUAACUGGUCUGAGAGGAUGAUCAGUCACACUGGAACUGAGACACGGUCCAGACUCCUACGGAGGCAGCAGUGGGAAUAUUGGACAAUGGGACGAAAGCCUAGACUCCGAGCCAAUGCCGCGUGUGUGAAGAAGGUC
rnacentral:rRNA from 1 species